rnacentral:lncRNA from 1 species
UUUGCACCGGACGAGCUCCGUGCAGAUGUUUUUGUACCAGGUUUUUCCUCGUUUAGGGCGUGAUAACUUAUUGACAGGUCGCUGUACUUCAUCAUGUCACAUGCCAGAGGUUUGAUAUAGUGGAUGGACGUCAGGGUAGGUAACUAGAGGCAUGGAUUGGGACUAGGGCAUAACUUGCCAACAACAAAAAAAGAGAAAAAUCGAAAAUCUGGCCGUCUAUGCCUUUAGCUGUCAUAAGUACAAAUUAACCCAUGGUGAUACUUAUGAAGAAGUUAGGAAAGUUUUUAUUGCUGAGGCAGUUCAGUGUGAUGUAAAAGGAAAGCAGAGUGACUUAGAGACAACUAACUUCAGAAUUGAAGAGAUGCAGGCCUUUGUUCUACAUGGUGAAAGAGGGGAAUUAUAGUGGAUUUUUGGAUUUAUUAGUGAAACCUGCGAAGUGAUAGUGAAGCAGAAUAGUUACAGAUCAUAAGAAAUGCAGGUCUUCAGCUUGGUGUAUAUGGAAAACAUAGUGGAUGGCCAGCCUAGAAAACAUUUAAUGAAGAAAUAUAUGAGGCAGAGCUAUCAGCAGUAUGCAAGAGACACAGCAAGAAGUACACAUUGUUUUGCACAGAUUUUUGUUCCACAUGUAUGGCCAUGAAGAGAUUUACAUAGAAAAAAACUCUCACCCAGGUGUUCCUCUUACACAAGCAUGAAGAAAAAAAGGGAGUUGCUGGAGGUAUUGCUAUGUUACUGUUGCCCAGCUAGACAAAUUACAAGUAUGCCGGGUAGUUAUGAAUGUCACCGUAGUUACAAAGUUCCAGCAGCAGCAAGCACAUACACGAUAUUUUUGUCAGGCACAAUUACCAGGACAAGACCAAAGUGCAACACAUGACUGUUUGGAUACUAUUGCAACAACUCUGAUGGAUCCAUCAUUAAUUAUACCACACAGGUUUGUCCAACUGGUGUGCAAGAUAGAAAAGUAAUAAUGGGGUUCUGGCUAUCAUUACAUAAUGGGCUGUGCAGAUAAGCAGGUAUGCAACUCUAAAAGAGACACUCAAACACACAGACACGAUAUGCUCCAGUCUGCUCCAAAUGUUGUCAUUCAGACUUCUGUAACAUGAACUGUACAAUACCACAUCCUCAACAGAUUAUAGGUUAAAGUGGCUUAAUUGGCCUGUACUCGACCACGUGACAAUCUGUGCAUUAUAAAAUGUUGACGGUCAAACUUGUUUUGUUGUUUAUCUAAGGAUUGUACCUACUUUUUAUAGGAAAAUAACUGAAAUGUGUACAAAAUCCCUGAACGGCCUGUGAAAAUAGACCAUGUGGAUCCAUGUUGAAUUAAACAAAACAAUGGCUUCGCCAUAUGUUUAGUGUUUUUUACAAUGUUGAAAUAUUCGGACGAAUAGAAUAGAAUUUAUGCACAUAGAUCCAAAGGGGAAUCGCACUGAGCCUUACCUAAAGAACAAAGAUAAAAAGGUUAGUUUUUCCUAAAUACACGUGGUUAUGAGGUAACGCCGUCUGAUACAAAACCAGGAUUCGCGAGUUUGAUCACCCGCUCCUACAACUAAAUAUUAAAAACAUUUGGAUGAGAGUAUGGGCGCUUUACAGCUGGCAAGAACUAGAGAAACUUGGAAUCAGGGCGUCUUUUGUAUCUUACACUAUCGAACUCAGAUUAUUAUUAUUUUCUGGAGAAGUUUCCCAUAUUGGUUACUGUUGGCAACUUUAGGUAAGUCUAAUUACAGACAAUGACUGUUAAAUAAUUGCUGAAAACGAUAUUGAAAACAAAGUUACAAUUAUUGUAAAAUGAUAUACAAGUACAAAUGUAAUUAUGUCUCCCCCAGGAGACAUAUUGUUUUUGCCCUGUCCGUCCGUCCGUACGUCACACUUCAUUUCCGAGC